UCGGGAAUUUUGGGCAAUGGGCGAAAGCCUGACCCAGCAACGCCGCGUGCAGGAAGAAGGCCCUAUGGGUCGUAAACUGCUUUUGAACAAGAGAAAACCCCGGUACGUGUACUGGGUUGAUAGUAUUGUUAGAAUAAGCAUCGGCUAACUUCGUGCCAGCAGCCGCGGUAAGACGAAGGAUGCAAGCGUUAUCCGGAUUCAUUGGGUUUAAAGGGUGCGUAGGCGGACUGAUAAGUCAGUGGUGAAAUCUCUCGGCUUAACCGAGAAACUGCCAUUGAUACUGUUAGUCUAGAGUACAGAUGAUGUGGGCGGAAUAUGACAUGUAGUGGUGAAAUACUUAGAUAUGUCAUAGAACACCGAUUGCGAAGGCAGCUCACAAAACUGUAACUGACGCUGAGGCACGAAAGUGCGGGGAUCAAACAGGAUUAGAUACCCUCGUAGUCCCUGAGCGGGCUGGCAAGGCGCAU
rnacentral:rRNA from 1 species